rnacentral:rRNA from 1 species
CGGGACGGGUGAGUAAUGUCGUGGGAAACUGCCUGAUGGAGGGGGAUAACUACUGGAAACGGUAGCUAAUACCGCAUAACGUCGCAAGACCAAAGAGGGGGACCUUCGGGCCUCUUGCCAUCGGAUGUGCCCAGAUGGGAUUAGCUAGUAGGUGGGGUAAAGGCUCACCUAGGCGACGAUCCCUAGCUGGUCUGAGAGGAUGACCAGCCACACUGGAACUGAGACACGGUCCAG